CUUUAAGGCAUGAUAAUAAAUGAAAGCGAAGGGUUAAAAAUAACCUGUAAAUGGGGAUGUCCAGUCAAAAAAGUUUGUAACUCCUGUUGUGACCACUUACAGAAGGGAUGUAUUGGUGGAACUUGUACGGGUGGAUGGAUUAAAACGAAAUGUGAAUGUGAAUGUCCUUCUGGGUAUGUAUAUAUAUAAGAAUUUUAAACAAGUAUAGUUUUACAUUUGAAUACAAGGCGAAAUGGGGUAUACAUUAUUAAAACAACGAUCAAACGACAUAUAUAGUGCAUCAUUCACUUUGAAAAAAAGUAAAAUUGAUGCAUGUACUACUAUAUGAUAAGCACGACUUCUUUGUAGAUAAAAAAAAGUUUUGAAUAAACUUAAAAGUAGACAAAUUGCUAUCUAAAUCAAAAUAACUAACAUACAACUGUUGAUGUUUCUGUUCUUGGCAUGUACCUUAAGUAUUGAUAUAAGCUUGUACGGAGAUAACACGUUUGAUAAUUAGUAUUAACUGGCUGUAAAAUAGUUAUUGACAGAAUAUACCCAAUCAUAUAGCAGUGCGGUUAUAUUUGGCAUAUUUUAAAUGAUUAGUGUUUUCUUUUUCUUUCAGAUAAAAGAAACAAAAUAUCCAAAAAGUAUGAUCCGAUGUCAGCGGUAGAUUUAGAUAUCGAUAUUAGUUCAUCUAAGAACAUGAAGAGAUUUAGAAGAAAACUAAAUUAUUGAUCAUAUUUUUUGCGAUCCCCUUUUUCGUUGUGCAAAUAGAAUAGAUUUUGAAUAUUAAAGACUUUUUCCCUUAA
rnacentral:lncRNA from 1 species